AGGUGCGAUCAUACCAGCACUAAUGCACUGGAUCCCAUCAGAACUCCGCAGUGAAGCGUGCUUCGGCGAGAGUAGUACUAGGAUCGGUGACCUCCUGGGAAAUCCUCUUGUUGCACCUC
rnacentral:rRNA from 2 species